rnacentral:rRNA from 1 species
UACAGAGGUGGCAAGCGUUGUUCGGAAUUACUGGGCGUAAAGGGCGCGUAGGCGGCCUUCUAAGUCGGACGUGAAAGCCCCAGGCUUAACCUGGGAACUGCGUCCGAUACUGGGAGGCUUGGAUUCGGGAGAGGGAUGUGGAAUUCCAGGUGUAGCGGUGAAAUGCGUAGAUAUCUGGAGGAACACCGGUGGCGAAGGCGGCAUCCUGGACCGGCAUUGACGCUGAUGCGCGAAAGCCAGGGGAGCAAACGGG